AUUGAACGCUGGCGGCAUGCCUUACACAUGCAAGUCGAACGGUAACAGGUCUUCGGAUGCUGACGAGUGGCGAACGGGUGAGUAAUACAUCGGAACGUGCCCGAUCGUGGGGGAUAACGGAGCGAAAGCUUUGCUAAUACCGCAUACGAUCUACGGAUGAAAGCAGGGGACCGCAAGGCCUUGCGCGAACGGAGCGGCCGAUGGCAGAUUAGGUAGUUGGUGGGAUAAAAGCUUACCAAGCCGACGAUCUGUAGCUGGUCUGAGCGGACGACCAGCCAGACUGGGACAGAGACACGGCCCAGACUCCUACGGGAGGCAGCGGUGGGGAAUUUUGGACAAUGGGCGCAAGCCUGAUCCAGCAAUGCCGCGUGCAGGAUGAAGGCCUUCGGGUUGUAAACUGCUUUUGUACGGAACGAAAAGGCUCUGGUUAAUACCUGGGGCUCAUGACGGUACCGUAAGAAUAGGCACCGGCUAACUACGUGCCAGCCGCCGCCGUAACAC
rnacentral:rRNA from 1 species